rnacentral:rRNA from 1 species
CACCUGUGGCGAAGGCGCCCGGCUGGAACGGGUCCGACGGUGAGGGACGAAGGCCAGGGGAGCGAACCGGAUUAGAUACCCGGGUAGUCCUGGCUGUAAACGAUGCGGGCUAGGUGUCGGGCCAGCUACGAGCUGGCCCGGUGCCGGAGGGAAGCCGUUAAGCCCGCCGCCUGGGGAGUACGGCCGCAAGGCUGAAACUUAAAGGAAUUGGCGGGGGAGCACGACAACGGGUGGAGCCUGCGGUUUAAUUGGAUUCAACGCCGGGAAGCUUACCGGGGGAGACAGCUCGAUGAAGGUCGGGCUGAAGACCCUACCAGAGUAGCUGAGAGGUGGUGCAUGGCCGCCGUCAGUUCGUACUGUGAAGCAUCCUGUUAAGUCAGGCAACGAGCGAGACCCGCGCCCCCAGUUGCCAGCGGGUCCCUUCGGGGAUGCCGGGCACACUGGGGGGACUGCCGGCGCUAAGCCGGAGGAAGGUGCGGGCAACGGCAGGUCCGUAUGCCCCGAAUCCCCCGGGCUACACGCGGGCUACAAUGGCCGGGACAAUGGGUACCGACCCCGAAAGGGGGAGGUAAUCCCCUAAACCCGGCCCCACCUGGGAUCGAGGGCUGCAACUCGCCCUCGUGAACCUGGAAUCCGUAGUAAUCGCGCCUCAAAAUGGCGCGGUGAAUACGUCCAGAUCGGAAGAGCGUCGUGUA